rnacentral:rRNA from 1 species
GUUGGGGACUAGGUGUGGGGUCUGUUCCACGGAUUCUGCGCCGGAGCUAACGCGUUAAGUUCCCCGCCUGGGGAGUACGGCCGCAAGGCUAAAACUCAAAGGAAUUGACGGGGGCCCGCACAAACGGCGGAGCAUGCGGAUUAAUUCGAUGCAACGCGAAGAACCUUACCAAGGCUUGACAUGUGCCGGGAGGGCGCGGAGACGCGUCUGCCUUCGGGCCGGUUCACAGGUGGUGCAUGGCUGUCGUCAG